rnacentral:rRNA from 1 species
GAUGAACGCUGGCGGCGUGCCUAAUACAUGCAAGUCGAGCGAACGGACGAGAAGCUUGCUCCUCUGAUGUUAGCGGCGGAUGGGUGAGUAACACGUGGAUAACCUACCUAUAAGACUGGGAUAACUUCGGGAAACCGGAGCUAAUACCGGAUAAUAUUGUGAACCGCAUGGUUCAAAACUCAAAGACGGUCUUGCUGUCACUUAUAGAUGGAUCCGCGCUGCAUUAGCUAGUUGGUAAGGUAACGGCUUACCAAGGCAACGAUGCAUAGCCGACCUGAGAGGGUGACCGGCCCCACUGGACCUGCGACACGGUCCCGACUCCUACGGGAGGCAGCAGUCGGGAAUCUUCCGCAAUGGGCGAACGCCUGACGUGGCAACGCCGCGUGAGUGUCGACGGUCUUCGGAUCGUAAACCUCUGUUAUUAGGGAAGAACAUAUGUGUAAGUAACUGUGCACACCUUGACGGUACCUAAUCAGAAAGCCACGGCUAGCUACGUG